UACGUAGGGUGCGAGCGUUGUCCGGAAUUACUGGGCGUAAAGAGCUCGUAGGCGGUUUGUCGCGUCUGCCGUGAAAGUCCGGGGCUCAACUCCGGAUCUGCGGUGGGUACGGGCAGACUAGAGUGAUGUAGGGGAGACUGGAAUUCCUGGUGUAGCGGUGAAAUGCGCAGAUAUCAGGAGGAACACCGAUGGCGAAGGCAGGUCUCUGGGCAUUAACUGACGCUGAGGAGCGAAAGCGUGGGGAGCAAACAGG
rnacentral:rRNA from 1 species